UACGUAGGGGGCAAGCGUUGUCCGGAUUUAUUGGGCGUAAAGAGCGUGUAGGCGGCCAGAUAGGUCAGCUGUGAAAGCCCCGGGCUUAACCUGGGAAUGGCCAUGGAAACUGGCGAACUGGAGUGUGGCAGAGGGGGGUGGAAUUCCGCGUGUAGCAGUGAAAUGCGUAGAGAUGCGGAGGAACACCGAUGGCGAAGGCAGCCCCCUGGGCUAGCACUGACGCUCAGGCACGAAAGCGUGGGGAGCAAACAGG
rnacentral:rRNA from 1 species